rnacentral:misc_RNA from 1 species
GCUUUUUUUUUAGACGGUAGGUCGAAUUUGUGUAGGACGAUUAUUACGCUUCUUCGUCGUCAACGAGAUUGUAACCAUGACGCAGGAAGGAGGAGGCAUGCGAGGCUUGACGCAUCUCGUCAGCUACACAUCCGAUUCCGAUGAGGAACGAGGAAAAGACGAAGAAGAGGAGGAAGAGCUGAAGAAGGAGCAGGGGGAUGAUGAAGUGAUGGCGAGCAUACCAGAAGAAGAAGAAGCGGUGGAUGGAAAGGAUGAUACCAAGGUGGAAACCAUCCAAGAUGAGGAUGAUGAGAUGGAGAUGGGGACACCCUUGCAGGAAAGCCCAAGUCCAUCUUCGAAUGCCCCAAGCUUGGUGUCCUACGAGAGAUCAGAGACAAAGCCCAAGAAGAUAAAAAAGACCGGUCUGGUGUCGUACGAGGGUGAGGAGGAGGACGGGAGGAGGUCGAAGGAGGCCGGAGAAGAAGGAGAGGAUCUGGACGGGUCGUGGUCGGAGAUGAAACUCUCUCCUGGGGAUGACCUGGAAGACAGGGUCAAAGUUGACAAGGUCAAGCUUGUCGACAGCUCUUAUCUGAGUGCCUCGAUGUCACUGCCAGAAUCAGCCUUGUCACAAAACAUCCGUCGACUGAGUGCAGAUGAAGUCACGUUACCGCCUGAGCCACCGGGCAGGUGCUCUAGACAUCUUCAGGAGAAAAUCAACUCGUAUUACAAGAAAAGCCUGAAUCUGAACCAGAUCAUCCAAAGAAGAAAAGACUUCAGAAAUCCAAGUAUAUAUGAAAAGCUGAUUGACUUUCUUGGUAUAGACGAACUAGGUACCAACUAUCCAAAGGAUAUGUAUGACCCUUACUGUUGGAAAGAAAGCUCUUACUACGAUGCUUUAGCCAAAGCGCAGAGGGAAGAGAUACAGAAGAAGAAAGAGAAAGACAAGAAAGAAAAGACAAAGGUGGAGUUUGUCACAGGGAUGGUGAGGAAAACACAGAUCCAGGCACCGCUGGUCACCAGCACCACCGGUGUAGCGGUACCAUCGACAUCAACAAGCAACCAGGGCACCGGCCAUGAAGAAGAGAAAAAGAGAAAGAGCAAGUGGGAUAACCCUGGGCAAUCCCUUCCUGCUCCGGUUCCUCUGAUGCAACGACCUGUCGUCUACGUCGUCACCACCACCAUAACCACCUCAACGGCCGUCUCGACAUCCACAUCAGCGUCAGGAUCAAAGACAACGGUCAUCUCAUCAAUAGGGGCAAUAAAGAAACAGAAAGUGGAGAAAUAGUAAAAGCUAUUUCACGGAUGACUUGAAUAUAUUCAUCAUGUGGGGAUUUAGCAGAUACUAUAAUGGAUGACUAGAAACAGAUGAUGGUGAAAUACCAAGGACUAUCACAUGGAUGGCUAGAACCAGGUGAAAUAGCAAAGACUAUCACAUGGAUUGCUCAAAAGAGGUGGUGAAAUAGCAAAGACUAUCACAUGGAUGACUAGAACCAGAUGGUGAAACAGCAAAGACUAUCUCAUGGAUGGCUAGAACCAGGUGGUGAAAUAGCAAAGACUAUCACAUGGAUGACUAGAACCAGAUGGUGAAACAGCAAAGACUAUCUCAUGGAUGGCUAGAACCAGGUGGUGAAAUAGCAAAGACUAUCACGUGGAUGGCUAGAGCUAGGUGGUGAAAUAGCAAAGACUGUCACAUACAUGGAUAGAACCAGCUGGUGAAAUAGAGACUAUCACAUGAGUGACAAGGAAAUAUUCAUUGUGUAGGGAUUUUUAUUAAAUAAUAUUUCAUGGCUUGAGAGAAGCGGGGGGUUGAGAAAUGAUCAAGAAUAAUUUCUUGGGUGAAAGAAAGAGAUGGUGAAAUAGUAAAGACUAACUCAUAUGACUAGGAAUGGUUCAUGAAGUGGGAGUUAAGCAAAGAAAAUGUUCUUAAGUGACAGAAACAUAAGGUUGUGGAAUAGCAAAAAUUAUCUCAUAGAUGUCAAGAAAUGAUCUUGUAGGGAUUUAGCAAAGAAUAUUUCUCUGGGUGAAAGAAAUAGGUGGAGAAAUAGCAAAGAUAAUAUCCGUCAUAAUAAUAAUCUGAACGGGUGAUUGGUCUUAACCCCAUCAUGUGACCAAAGAUAGUUCCAACCAAUGUCACAAAAUUGGCAAAAUGGCAUAAAUCCCCACAUCUGACGUCACACCUCUGGGGCCCGUUGCAGAAAGAGUUGCGUUUAAA